rnacentral:tRNA from 1 species
UGGCUCAGUUGGUAGAGCAUGGCACUUGCAAUGCCAGGGUUGUGAGUUUGAUUCCCAU